rnacentral:rRNA from 1 species
UUGGAGGGCAAGUCUGGUGCCAGCAGCCGCGGUAAUUCCAGCUCCAAUGGCGUAUAUUAAAGUUGUUGCAGUUAAAAAGCUCGUAGUUGAAUUUCGGGAUCAAAUAAUCGGUCGUGCCUCCGGUACGUACUGGUUUUAUUGGUUCCUCCCUUCUGACGAACCAUGAUGUCAUUAAUUUGAUGUGGUGGAGAAUCAGGACUGUUACCUUGAAAAAAUUAGAGUGUUUAAAGCAGGCUAACGCUUGAAUACAUUAGCAUGGAAUAAUGAAAUAGGACGUUCGACCCUAUUUUGUUGGUUUCUAGGAUCGACGUAAUGAUUAAUAGGGAUAGUUGGGGGCAUUAGUAUUCAAUUGUCAGAGGUGAAAUUCUUGGAUUUAUUGAAGACUAACUACUGCGAAAGCAUUUGCCAAGGAUGUUUUCAUUAAUCAAGAACGAAAGUUAGGGGAUCGAAGACGAUCAGAUACCGUCGUAGUCUUAACCAUAAACUAUGCCGACUAGGGAUCGGAUGAUGUUAAUUUUUUAAUGACUCAUUCGGCGCCUUACGGGAAAC